rnacentral:rRNA from 1 species
GCGCAGCAGUCGCGAAACCUCCGCAAUGCGGGCAACCGUGACGGGGUCACCCCGAGUGCCCCCCUCGUGGGGGCUUUUCCCCGCUGUAGGAAGGCGGGGGAAUAAGCGGGGGGCAAGACUGGUGUCAGCCGCCGCGGUAAUACCAGCCCCGCGAGUGGUCGGGGUGAUUAUUGGGCCUAAAGCGCCCGUAGCCGGCCCGGCAAGUCUCCCUCUAAAAGCCCCGGGCUCAACCCGGGGAGUGGGGGAGAUACUGCCGGGCUAGGGGGCGGGAGAGGCCGAGGGUACGUCCCGGGGUAGGGGCGAAAUCCUAUAAUCCCGGGAGGACCACCAGUGGCGAAGGCGCUCGGCUGGAACGCGCCCGACGGUGAGGGGCGAAAGCCGGGGAGCGAACCGGA